rnacentral:rRNA from 1 species
UACGGGGGGAGCAAGCGUUGUUCGGAAUUACUGGGCGUAAAGGGCGCGUAGGCGGCCUGCUAAGUCGAACGUGAAAUCCCCGGGCUCUACCCGGGAACUGCGUCCGAUACUGGCAGGCUUGAAUCCGGGAGAGGGAUGCGGAAUUCCAGGUGUAGCGGUGAAAUGCGUAGAUAUCUGGAGGAACACCGGUGGCGAAGGCGGCAUCCUGGACCGGCAUUGACGCUGAGGCGCGAAAGCCAGGGGAGCAAACGGG